UUAUCGGAGAGUUUGAUCCUGGCUCAGGACGAACGCUGGCGGCGUGCCUAAUACAUGCAAGUCGAGCGGACAGAUGGGAGCUUGCUCCCUGAUGUUAGCGGCGGACGGGUGAGUAACACGUGGGUAACCUGCCUGUAAGACUGGGAUAACUCCGGGAAACCGGGGCUAAUACCGGAUGCUUGUUUGAACCGCAUGGUUCAAACAUAAAAGGUGGCUUCGGCUACCACUUACAGAUGGACCCGCGGCGCAUUAGCUAGUUGGUGAGGUAAUGGCUCACCAAGGC
rnacentral:rRNA from 1 species